rnacentral:sRNA from 1 species
GAGCCAGGGGGGACAGGCUGACCAGAUGGCAUAAACCCGGUAAGAUUUAUAAGGUCAGACCGGGAGCAGAUGCACAUCCAUAUUAGGUCUUGGCCCACUUUUGAUGAGCAGAUUCAGUGUAUGUGGAGAUGGUGUGAAUGUGGCAGUCAGGGUGGAGAUGGUGUAAAUGUGGCAGUCGGGACACCGGCUGGAAGUCAGCAGGUAGCACCUCAGCCCGUGGUUGGUAGGAAAUAAGAUUGGCCCCCACUCUGAAUACUGCUGCUUUGGUGGCAGAGAGAAAGCACAGCCAACCACAGCUCUUCAAACUUCUGCCCAGAAACCACAGGCAUCACCUCUGCCUACACUUCAGGUGACCACAUCUGGACCCCCACGGAGAGGGCCAAAAGGUGAACAAGGAAAUCAUCUACCAUAACCAGCCUUCUGGGCUCUCCAUUCUUAUCAUCUUUAAGACGCUAACAACGAUGCGUGCAUUGAAGACCAAGAGGUAAAGAGCAAUUCGUGCUUGCUAUUUCAUUAAAAGAGACUCAAUAAAAAUAACAACUGUCCAAGUGGAUCAAG